AGCGAACGCUGGUGGCAGGCCUAACACAUGCAAGUCGAACGGAUCCUUCGGGAUUAGUGGCGGACGGGUGAGUAACACGUGGGAACGUGCCUUUUGGUUCGGAACAACUCAGGGAAACUUGAGCUAAUACCGAAUGUGCCCUUCGGGGAAAGAUUUAUCGCCAUUAGAGCGGCCCGCGUCUGAUUAGCUUGUUGGUGAGGUAAAGGCUCACCAAGGCUACGAUCAGUAGCUGGUCUGAGAGGAUGAUCAGCCACAUUGGGACUGAGACACGGCCCAAACUCCUACGGGAGGCAGCAGUGGGGAAUCUUGCGCAAUGGGCGAAAGCCUGACGCAGCCAUGCCGCGUGAAUGAUGAAGGUCUUAGGAUUGUAAAAUUCUUUUCACCGGGGACGAUAAUGACGGUACCCGGAGAAGAAGCCCCGGCUAACUUCGUG
rnacentral:rRNA from 1 species